rnacentral:rRNA from 1 species
ACGGAAGGCAGCAGUGGGGAAUAUUGCACAAUGGGCGAAAGCCUGAUGCAGCGACGCCGCGUGAGUGAAGAAGUAUCUCGGUAUGUAAAGCUCUAUCAGCAGGGAAGAAAAUGACGGUACCUGACUAAGAAGCCCCGGCUAACUACGUGCCAGCAGCCGCGGUAAUACGUAGGGGGCAAGCGUUAUCCGGAUUUACUGGGUGUAAAGGGAGCGUAGACGGUUUGGCAAGUCUGAAGUGAAAUGCGGGGGCUCAACUCCUGAACUGCUUUGGAAACUGCCGAACUAGAGUGCAGGAGAGGUAAGUGGAAUUCCUAGUGUAGCGGUGAAAUGCGUAGAUAUUAGGAGGAACACCAGUGGCGAAGGCGGCUUACUGGACUGUAACUGACGUUGAGGCUCGAAAGCGUGGGGAGCAAACAGGAUUAGAUACCCUGGUA